GAUGGGAGGUAAAUUAUUAUUUUUAGGAGGUAAGAAUUUUCUAAAGGGCAAAAACACUAAAAAAAAAUAAAAAUUCAUCAUCCCUUUUCCUCCCUUAGCCUCCACCACCUCAAACCCUACCAAAUCCCCCACCUCUCUCUUCUUCAUUUUUCCGGCGAAACCUCGCCGGAAUACAACCAAACAGAAGCACAAAACAACCUCUUUCUUCUCCACCAGAUCCAACCCCAAAACCCCCUUCGUUUUCCCAUUUUUCCGGCAGCAGCUUCGGUGAGGAGCUCAAAGCUCCGAUGAACCGGAGCUAAACAACCCCAUACCUUCUCACCACCAAGCUAAAACAACCACCAAACAACAAUCAAACAGCCCCCCAAACCCAACCGAAACAGCCACCAAAACCCCUUUCGUUUUUCUUCUUUUCCGGUGAAAGAAUCACCGGAAACGACCCCAAAUGGCCAGUCCCUUUCCUUCUUUCCCCUUUACGAUUUUUAUUUAUUUUGCAGGUAUUCCGACAAGCUCCAACGGCCAGCGAGUUUGAAGCUCGCCGCCACUAACUCCGGCCAACGCCAACGAGCUCCGAGCUCAUGAACCAACAACAACCAACCAAGAUUCCAGCGGACAACAACAAUAAGAACAACAAAUCAGAUGAGCUCUAAGCUUUGAAAUUUCAGAUCCAGCCAGAAUGCAACAAACAGAGACGAACUCUAACAAACCUCGCUUCCAGAUUGCUCGGAAAAGCAACACUCUGGUACCCGGAGUUGUUUCCCAUUGAAGCUAUUUGAACAAAGUUCGAACAAUAUUUUGAUUCAUUAUCGUAUAUUAUUGACGGUAGACAAAUCUAGGUUAUUUCUUAUAUUAUUUUAUUUUAUUACUUGUGUAUCUUGUAUGUUUGUUUUAUUUAUAUAUUAUUUUUA